rnacentral:rRNA from 1 species
UACGUAGGUGGCGAGCGUUGUCCGGAUUUACUGGGCGUAAAGGGAGCGUAGGCGGACUUUUAAGUGAGAUGUGAAAUACCCGGGCUCAACUUGGGUGCUGCAUUUCAAACUGGAAGUCUAGAGUGCAGGAGAGGAGAAUGGAAUUCCUAGUGUAGCGGUGAAAUGCGUAGAGAUUAGGAAGAACACCAGUGGCGAAGGCGAUUCUCUGGACUGUAACUGACGCUGAGGCUCGAAAGCGUUGGGAGCAAACAGGAUUAGAUACCCU